rnacentral:tRNA from 1 species
GGCCGACUAGCUCAGUUGGUUAGAGCGUCGUGCUAAUACCUUGAUUCUAUGACUGGUUUGCGUUACCAAGGACCACACCAGUCACAGAAUUGGUACGCGAAGGUCUUGGGUUCGAUCCCCACGUUGGCCA